GCCAUUCUUAGAACUUCAUGUAUACAAGUACGUACAAUCGUACUGACCUAUACCAAACGCUACUGUUAGUAGAUAGUACCUAAGACAACAACAACAUAAAACUGACAAAACACUUACGUAGAGGCCCAUAAAACCAACACUUGCUUCGCCAGGGUUUAUUCCAAACAGUUUGCUCAUUGCUAUACAACCGCAUAUGAAAGAAGUUGUGGUCAAUACUAACAUAACACAACCGAUUGUGAUUAAAAAAUAAGCUCCAUGGUUUGAUAAAGCCAUCUUAGCUUAGUGUGUGUGUUAUCUUAAAGCUUUUGACAAAGCUGUUGCUUUAAAGAGUACGUUUCAGAUAUUGUUUUCAAAUAACACAGGAAGUCGAUUUACCUGUUACCGUG